CAUACAGCGGGCCGCAGAAACAUGCCAUGCCGCGACCGCGACGGCAGCCAGGGGAUCCAUUUUGAAUAGUAAGGAGGGGAUGCGUGGUCAAAAUCUUCGUGAACGCUAAAUCUUGAAGAUCAUCUGUUCCAAGUUCGGAGAAGCGACCCAUUUCGGCGACGCCAUGGACGGGGAUGAUUGUCGCAGGCAGGCUGUUGCCGCGGUCAGCCGUCCCCGACGCUGCCUUUGACUACACCGUUGCUUGCUCCAGGCUGCAUGCCGACGCCUCCCCUCUCAGAUUUUGAUUCGACGGAACGAGACACAUGGCGAAAAGCGGCAGAGCAGCCACGGGAUUGGACGUCGUCCCAGCAGGCUUCGAGAGCCGUGAGCACGGGCAAACCAACGGUGGAGAUCAUUCUCUCACUGCGACUGCGAGUCCUCUGCUCUCUCUCUCUCUCUCCCUCCCUUGGAUCUCUCUACAAAUACCACUCCACCUCGCUUUCGCAAUACACAAACACAACACAAGUGUGUUUCGUUUCCGUCCAGCAGGAAGCUAGCCUCGGCGUCCGACAUGGCCGGCGAGAAGACGGCGUCGUCCGGCGCCACCGAUCUGGUGGAUCCCGCGACGGCGACGGCUACGGCGCAGAAGAAGCCGCGGGGGCGGCCGCUGGGGUCCAAGAACAAGCCGAAGCCGCCGGUGGUGGUGACGCGGGAGAGCGAGGCGGCGAUGCGGCCCGUGGUGCUGGAGCUGGCGGCGGGGUGCGACGUGGUGGGCGCGGUGGCGGCGUUCGCGCGCCGCCGCCGCGUGGGCGUGUCCGUGCUCUGCGGGCGCGGCGCCGUCGCCGCCGUCACGCUGCGCCUGGCCGCGUCCUCCGCCGCGGUCACGCUGCACGGGCGGUUCGAGGUGCUGGCGCUGUCCGGGACCGUGGUGCCGUCGUCGUCGUCGGCGUCGGCGUCCGCGCCGGCGUUCUCGGUGUCGCUGGCCGGGGAGGGCGGGCAGGUGAUCGGCGGGACCCUGGCGGGGGAGAUGACUGCCGCGGAUGGGGUGGUCGUGGUGGCCGCCGUGUUCGGGAGCGCCCAGGUGCACCGGCUGCCCGCCGCUGGCGCGGAGGACGAGGACAGCGGCGGUGGAAGGGAGGAGGGAAUGCGCGCGCAGGUGGCCGUGGGACUGGGUGGCACUGGCACCGGCGGCGGCCUCGUGGUCGUGGGGCGGCAGCACGCGCAGCAGCUGCCAGAGGUGGGUCUGUGGGGCCAGCAGCCGACGCCCGCUCACGUUCGCGGACCGGUCCACGCUCUGCCCCGUUUCUAGAGGCAGUUGGCAGCUGCAUGGCGUCCUUGUGCUUGGCGCGUGACGCUCUUUUGCCCGGACACGGAGACGGCUCCCUCCGUUUUUGGUGGCGGUGCCUUCAGACUGUCUUCAGCGGUUCCCCCUAAAUUUGUCCCCCUAUUUCCCACUCACGUGCCACGUCAGCAAUCUCUCUCCCCCUAUAUCUCCACGCUCUACAGCGGUUCCCCCUAUAACAAUCCUCUAUACCCCACCACACCAAUAUUAUAUACUUUCCUCAUCAACUAACUCAACUACCAUGAAAUCUUAAAAUUAUUUUUAUUAAUUAUUUGCAUAGUACACGGGGC
rnacentral:misc_RNA from 1 species